ACAGGUUGUGGUAGUGGUCAUGGUUGACGCUCGAGCAUGGACAGACUACGAAGGGGCCGCGAAGAAAGGAUUUGUGAAGAGAUCUGGCAGGAGCAACUAGCUUUCAUCCAACAACAACAAAAGUACAUGGUUGCUUACACCUCAUCGGGGCAAUAAGCACUUCGGUGAGUGUCUCAUAUAUUCUCAACACGAUAGUUUAUUUGUACUAUAACUAAUAUACCGUAUUUGCAACACAGACAUGGUUUCCAGAGCAGGCACAACAACAACCUUUUGUUUUCCCUUAAUUUCAGUCGUCGAUGGCUUAGUGACAAAUACUUGCUCCAACACCUCCUCUAGCUCAAGUGUGUCGAUAAUUAUCUAUAAUUGAAUUUAUUAUGAACUAGAACUUACUAUGAACUAGCUCAAGUGCAUCGUUCUAGUUCAGUUUAGUUUAUACAUGUCAUUUAUAUCUAACCUUUUAAAUCUUGGCUUAACUUGUAUCUAAUUUAGUUUAUCUUAUCUUGAUUUGUAGGGAUCGAGGGUCAUGGGUCACAACAUGUAUCAUACUCCACCACCACGGAUACCAGCACCCAGCACCUAGAGCUUCUGGACAGCCCCAAGCUUCUGGAGAGGAG
rnacentral:lncRNA from 1 species